rnacentral:rRNA from 1 species
CGAACGGGUGAGUAACACGUGAGCAACCUGCCCCGAAGACCGGGAUAACAGUGGGAAACCGCUGCUAAUACCGGAUACCCCCACCGGGUCACAUGGCCUGGUGAGGAAAUGGAUUCCGCUUCGGGAGGGGCUCGCGGCCUAUCAGCUUGUUGGUGGGGUAACGGCCUACCAAGGCGUCGACGGGUAGCUGGUCUGAGAGGACGAUCAGCCACACUGGGACUGAGACACGGCCCAG